rnacentral:rRNA from 1 species
UACGAAGGGGGCUAGCGUUGUUCGGAAUCACUGGGCGUAAAGGGCGCGUAGGCGGCUUUAUAAGUCGGGGGUGAAAGCCUGUGGCUCAACCACAGAAUUGCCUUCGAUACUGUAGAGCUUGAGACCGGAAGAGGUAAGUGGAACUGCGAGUGUAGAGGUGAAAUUCGUAGAUAUUCGCAAGAACACCAGUGGCGAAGGCGGGUUGCUGGGCCGACACUGACGCUGAUGCGCGAAAGCCAGGGGAGCGAACGGG